AAGCCUCAAGGAUAAAGAGCAGAUGAAAAGCCAGGAACAGUGGUUAAUGAGCUAAUUAGCAUUUGAAAAGGCAGUAUAGAGAGGUCUUGGCAUUCACUCCUCUCGAUUGUUCCAGGAUCAAAAUUUCCAGUCUGGUUCUAAACAUCCCUCUUCCUGCAGUACUACUUUGAGGGAUUAGACCUUGCUGUCGACAAAGAGACGGUGAACAGCACAAAAUGGAAGAAAGAAUGACCUCAAAACCAGACCUGAAAAGACACUGACCUAAAACAAGCUUGCAAAGGUCAUUAUUUGAAGUCCUAAUGCCUCACAAAGAUCUUGAAUAUCAUUAUGGCUUGUCCCACC